CAAUCCUGUCUGAACACUUGUGCUUUGCUUUGACAGGGCAAUGAGAAGGAUCUCAACACCGAAGUUUCAAACUAGAGGACUGAGAGAAUUCAUUUCUUCUUUUGGACAAGUGACAAAGAGCUGCUUGGUGGCCACUUCACAUGAUGGACCCAAGAGAGUUACAAGAAAAAAACCUGCUCACUAGGAAAUAAAGUUCCCUGAUGUUUAAGGAAGAUCAAAGAGUCUCCAAAUAUUAGCCAAGGAUAUCAGGUGGAACCUUGUGGCUCCUGCUGUCUAAGAGUUGAAGAAAAGAGAUUGUGCUCAAACCCAUUGCUUUUCCCCUUGUGUCUGCAGUUCCAAAUGAAAGACAUCACCUCCAUUUCCAGGCUUUGCCUCAUUAAAGCUGGAAACAAUUUUCCCGUU